UGCGGUUGAACACAUGGAGGAGAGAAUCAUUUUCGCAGUAUCCUCAAAACGGUGUCUUUUUGACAUAACUGCUGACAGCUACAGGGACAUUAACACACAAAAAAAUGCUGAUUGGAGACAAGGGUGCACGAUAGUAGAAUUGCCAGAAGAAGAGAAAGGAGGAAGUGGAUAGGACUCAGGGGCAGGUAUCAGAGAGAGAGAAGAAGAGGUCUGGGUCAGCAGCUUCAGGUCAGCAGCCUUGGCGCUUCUGCCACAUUCUUUUCUGGAUCCAUUUAUUGUGCCUCGGGCAACGAGUGGCAAUUUUACAGCCAGACCCUCUACUACAUCAUCCACAAGUGUUGUUGCCACCGGUACAUCAAGACCCUCAACGUCACCUACAAAUGCGACCCUCACCUUCACCAGUGGAGUGAGACCCUCUACAACAUCAUCCACGAGUAUGACCACCACCGGUGCAGCCAUGGAAGAUGAUGAAAUAGAGGAAGCACCUCUGGAUCUAGGACCACCUGAGAUUAUUAUGAACCUCACGGAAGUGACCACUGAGGACCUCGUUGAACAGGAUGUGGCCGUGAAAAGAAACAGAGAGAGAAACGAAGAGGAACAACGUCACACCAGCCCCCAGAUCCACUCAACUCAUUUCAGCAGAGGCUCUCCUCCAAGCCAUCGAGAGGGAUGCAGCCCAACCUGAUGCUCACAGCAAGGAGGAUGAAGAGACCAUCUUUGCCAUGAGCCUGGUGCCAACACUGAAGAGGCUGCCUCAGUGAAGAAAAGCAGCAGUCAAGGUUAAAAUGUAUCAGCUGCUUUUCGAAGCCGAGUUCAAUGGUACGUUUUUUUUCUCCACAUCACAGGUAGUGUCAUAAGUGCGACAGUGAAGUAAAGUAGGUCAUUUUUACAGUAUAGUCAUGUAGAUUCAUUGGUAUUUCAGAUCAAAGUAUUAAUAUGAGGCAAAUGUAUAGCUGUUGUUUCUGGGUUAGAAAAUAAAUAUCCUAAAACAGUUUGCUGUCAUAUUCAUCUUUUGAUCUGAAAUACAAAUUCCAUGAGUAAACACCAAGUAUUACCAACUUUACCACACUGUUCCUAUAUUUAUGCCACUAACUACACUAUACAAGCAGUAUUUAGUUAACAUAAAUCUCACCUUUUAUGGUGUCAUAUUAUGUUAAUAUAUAUUAUGUUUAUUGCAUCAUUAAAAAAAUAUUUUAAACCAA